rnacentral:tRNA from 1 species
GGCCGGUUAGCUCAGCUGGUUAGAGCGUGGUGCUAAUAACGCCAAGGUCCUGGGUUCGAUCCCAAUACUGGCCA